rnacentral:rRNA from 1 species
UACGUGGGCAGCAAGCGUUGUUCGGAGUUACUGGGCGUAAAGGGUGCGUAGGCGGCUUUUUAAGUUUGGUGUGAAAUCUCCCGGCUCAACUGGGAGGGUGCGCCGAAUACUGAGAGGCUAGAGUGCGGGAGAGGAAAGUGGAAUUCCUGGUGUAGCGGUGAAAUGCGUAGAUAUCAGGAGGAACACCGGUGGUGUAAACGGCUUUCUGGACCGUAACUGACGCUGAUGCACGAAAGCGUGGGUAGCAAACAGG